GCUAAGCAUUGUGCACCUUACCUCCUUUAAGCCCCUUGACCCUUGCAGCCCUACGUGGCAAGGAACUGAUGUCUCCAGCCAGGAGCCAGGGAGGGCUGCCUGAGAUCCAGCAGCCACGUGAGCGAGCCUGGAAGGGCUCAGGGACCUAGCAGGGCUUGGAGUGGCAACCAUUCAUCCUACAAACAUGGCUGCAUCAGGGAGAGAUGAACAAGACGCUGCCUUCACCCAGGAACAUGAUAUCUUUGGGGGCUCUUUACAGGGACCCUCACCCCAGAUGCAGUGUUCAGCCAUCAGGCCAGAGCUGAGAAUGCAUCUUCCCUGCAGUAAUUUUUGCCCAAAGCCAGGAGUUUAGAAGAACAUGAGUAUGUUUUUCUUU